rnacentral:rRNA from 1 species
ACUCCUACGGGAGGCAGCAGUGGGGAAUAUUGCACAAUGGGCGCAAGCCUGAUGCAGCCAUGCCGCGUGUAUGAAGAAGGCCUUCGGGUUGUAAAGUACUUUCAGCAGUGAGGAAGGUGGAGUCGUUAAUAGCGGCCUCAUUUGACGUUAGCUGCAGAAGAAGCACCGGCUAACUCCGUGCCAGCAGCCGCGGUAAUACGGAGGGUGCGAGCGUUAAUCGGAAUUACUGGGCGUAAAGCGCAUGCAGGUGGUUUGUUAAGUCAGAUGUGAAAGCCCGGGGCUCAACCUCGGAAUUGCAUUUGAAACUGGCAGACUAGAGUACUGUAGAGGGGGGUAGAAUUUCAGGUGUAGCGGUGAAAUGCGUAGAGAUCUGAAGGAAUACCGGUGGCGAAGGCGGCCCCCUGGACAGAUACUGACACUCAGAUGCGAAAGCGUGGGGAGCAAACAGGAUUAGAUACC